rnacentral:rRNA from 1 species
UCGGGAAUUUUGGGCAAUGGGCGAAAGCCUGACCCAGCAACGCCGCGUGAAGGAUGAAGUAUUUCGGUAUGUAAACUUCGAAAGAAUAGGAAGAAUAAAUGACGGUACUAUUUAUAAGGUCCGGCUAACUACGUGCCAGCAGCCGCGGUAAUACGUAGGGACCAAGCGUUGUUCGGAUUUACUGGGCGUAAAGGGCGCGUAGGCGGCAAUUCAAGUCAUCUGUGAAAUCUCCGGGCUUAACUCGGAACGGUCAGAUGAUACUGCUUUGCUAGAGUGCAGAAGGGGCAAUCGGAAUUCUUGGUGUAGCGGUGAAAUGCGUAGAUAUUAGGAAGAACACCGGUGGCGAAGGCGGCUCACUGGAUCGGCACUGACGCUGAGGUGCGAAAGCGUGGGGAGCAAACAGGAUUAGAUACCCUAGUAGUCCCUGAGCGGGCUGGCAAGGCGCAU